rnacentral:rRNA from 1 species
CGGAGGGUGCAAGCGUUAUCCGGAUUCACUGGGUUUAAAGGGAGCGUAGGUGGGUUGGUAAGUCAGUGGUGAAAUCCCCGAGCUUAACUUGGGAACUGCCAUUGAUACUAUCAGUCUUGAAUACCGUGGAGGUCAGCGGAAUAUGUCAUGUAGCGGUGAAAUGCUUAGAUAUGACAUAGAACACCAAUUGCGAAGGCAGCUGGCUACACGAAUAUUGACACUGAGGCUCGAAAGCGUGGGGAUCAAACAGGAUUAGAUACCCUGGUAGUCCACGCCCUAAACUAUGGAUACUCGACAUACGCGAUACACUGUGUGUGUCUGAGCGAAAGCAUUAAGUAUCCCACCUGGGAAGUACGAUCGCAAGAUUG